rnacentral:rRNA from 1 species
UGGGGAAUUUUGGACAAUGGGCGAAAGCCUGAUCCAGCAAUGCCGCGUGUGUGAAGAAGGCCUUCGGGUUGUAAAGCACUUUUGUCCGGAAAGAAAUCCUUGGCUCUAAUACAGUCGGGGGAUGACGGUACCGGAAGAAUAAGCACCGGCUAACUACGUGCCAGCAGCCGCGGUAAUACGUAGGGUGCAAGCGUUAAUCGGAAUUACUGGGCGUAAAGCGUGCGCAGGCGGUUUGCUAAGACCGAUNUGAAAUCCCCGGGCUCAACCUGGGAACUGCAUUGGUGACUGGCAGGCUAGAGUAUGGCAGAGGGGGGUAGAAUUCCACGUGUAGCAGUGAAAUGCGUAGAGAUGUGGAGGAAUACCGAUGGCGAAGGCAGCCCCCUGGGCCAAUACUGACGCUCAUGCACGAAA